rnacentral:rRNA from 1 species
UUACUCGCAGAAUAAGCACCGGCUAACUCUGUGCCAGCAGCCGCGGUAAUACAGAGGGUGCGAGCGUUAAUCGGAUUUACUGGGCGUAAAGCGUGCGUAGGCGGCUUUUUAAGUCGGAUGUGAAAUCCCUGAGCUUAACUUAGGAAUUGCAUUCGAUACUGGGAAGCUAGAGUAUGGGAGAGGAUGGUAGAAUUCCAGGUGUAGCGGUGAAAUGCGUAGAGAUCUGGAGGAAUACCGAUGGCGAAGGCAGCCAUCUGGCCUAAUACUGACGCUGAGGUACGAAAGCAUGGGGAGCAAACAGGAUUAGAUACCCUGGUAGUCCAUGCCGUAAACGAUGUCUACUAGCCGUUGGGGCCUUUGAGGCUUUAGUGGCGCAGCUAACGCGAUAAGUAGACCGCCUGGGGAGUACGGUCGCAAGACUAAAACUCAAAUGAAUUGACGGGGGCCCGCACAAGCGGUGGAGCAUGUGGUUUAAUUCGAUGCAACGCGAAGAACCUUACCUGGUCUUGACAUAGUAAGAACUUUCCAGAGAUGGAUUGGUGCCUUCGGGAACUUACAUACAGGUGCUGCAUGGCUGUCGUCAGCUCGUGUCGUGAGAUGUUGGGUUAAGUCCCGCAACGAGCGCAACCCUUUUCCUUAUUUGCCAGCGGGUUAAGCCGGGAACUUUAAGGAUACUGCCAGUGACAAACUGGAGGAAGGCGGGGACGACGUCAAGUCAUCAUGGCCC